AUAUCUAUUUAGACAGUGAGGUAUCAGAUUUAGAUUGUAUUGAGUAUACAGUCCACACCACAUCUAUUUAGACAGUGAGGUAUCAGAUUUAGAUUGUAUUGAGUAUACAGUCCACACCAUAUCUAUUUAGACAGUGAGGAAUCAGAUUUAGAUUGUAUUGAGUAUACAGUCCACACCAUAUCUAUUUAGACAGUGAGGUAUCAGAUUUAGAUUGUAUUGAGUAUACAGUCCACACCAUAUCUAUUUAGACAGUGAGGUAUCAGAUUUAGAUUGUAUUGAGUAUACAGUCCACACCAUAUCUAUUUAGACAGUGAGGAAUCAGAUUUAGAUUGUAUUGAGUAUACAGUCCACACCAUAUCUAUUUAGACAGUGAGUAUCAGAUUUAGAUUGUAUUGAGUAUACAGUCCACACCAUAUCUAUUUAGACAGUGAGGAAUCAGAUUUAGAUUGUAUUGAGUAUACAGUCCACACCAUAUCUAUUUAGACAGUGAGGUAUCAGAUUUAGAUUGUAUUGAGUAUACAGUCCACACCAUAUCUAUUUAGACAGUGAGGUAUCAGAUUUAGAUUGUAUUGAGUAUACAGUCCACACCAUAUCUAUUUAGACAGUGAGGAAUCAGAUUUAGAUUGUAUUGAGUAUACAGUCCACACCAUAUCUAUUUAGACAGUGAGGAAUCAGAUUUAGAUUGUAUUGAGUAUACAGUCCACACCAUAUCUAUUUAGACAGUGAGGAAUCAGAUUUAGAUUGUAUUGAGUAUACAGUCCACACCAUAUCUAUUUAGACAGUGAGGAAUCAGAUUUAGAUUGUAUUGAGUAUACAGUCCACACCAUAUCUAUUUAGACAGUGAGGUAUCAGAUUUAGAUUGUAUUGAGUAUACAGUCCACACCAUAUCUAUUUAGACAGUGAGGAAUCAGAUUUAGAUUGUAUUGAGUAUACAGUCCACACCAUAUCUAUUUAGACAGUGAGGAAUCAGAUUUAGAUUGUAUUGAGUAUACAGUCCACACCAUAUCUAUUUAGACAGUGAGGAAUCAGAUUUAGAUUGUAUUGAGUAUACAGUCCACACCAUAUCUAUUUAGACAGUGAGGAAUCAGAUUUAGAUUGUAUUGAGUAUACAGUCCACACCAUAUCUAUUUAGACAGUGAGCUAUCAGAUUUAGAUUGUAUUGAGUAUACAGUCCACACCAUAUCUAUUUAGACAGUGAAGCUGAUAUUUUAAAUGUGGCUCUAUACUCCAGCAUUUUUGAUUUCAGAUCAAAUGUUUCAUAUGAGGUGACAGUAUAUAAUGUCACCUUUUAUUUGAGGAUAUUUUAAUACAUAUCUGUUUCAACAUUUAGAAAAAUAAAAGCACUUCAUGUAUCUAGUCCCCCAUUUGAAGAAGUCUUAAGUAUUCUGACCAAUUUAAAGUAGUCAAAGGUAAUUGGUCCCAUAUUCAUUGAAAUUUGGUCGUAAAGUCAUUGUUUGCAUUUGCAGUGUGUUUUGGUUGUGUUUUUGGUUGUGUUUUGCCCAAUAAUAAAAUGGUGGAUGAUGA